GAUGAACGCUGGCGGCGUGCCUAAUACAUGCAGGUCGAGCGAACGGACGAGAAGCUUGCUUCUCUGAUGUUAGCGGCGGACGGGUGAGUAACACGUGGAUAACCUACCUAUAAGACUGGGAUAACUUCGGGAAACCGGAGCUAAUACCGGAUGAUAUUUUGAACCGCAUGGUUCAAAAGUGAAAGACGGUCUUGCUGUCACUUAUAGAUGGUUCCGCGCUGCAUUAGCUAGUUGGUAAGGUAACGGCUUACCAAGGCAACGAUGCAUAGCCGACCUGAGAGGGUGAUCGGCCACACUGGAACUGAGACACGGUCCAGACUCCUACGGGAGGCAGCAGUAGGGAAUCUUCCGCAAUGGGCGAAAGCCUGACGGAGCAACGCCGCGUGAGUGAUGAAGGUCUUCGGAUCGUAAAACUCUGUUAUUAGGGAAGAACAUAUGUGUAAGUAACUGUGCACAUCUUGACGGUACCUAAUCAGAAAGCCACGGCUAACUACGUG
rnacentral:rRNA from 1 species